rnacentral:rRNA from 1 species
GAUGAACGCUGGCGGCGUGCCUAAUACAUGCAAGUCGAGCGAACAGAUGAGGAGCUUGCUCCUCUGACGUUAGCGGCGGACGGGUGAGUAACACGUGGAUAACCUACCUAUAAGACUGGGGUAACUUCGGGAAACCGGAGCUAAUACCGGAUAAUAUAUUGAACCGCAUGGUUCAAUAGUGAAAGACGGUUUUGCUGUCACUUAUAGAUGGAUCCGCGCCGCAUUAGCUAGUUGGUAAGGUAACGGCUUACCAAGGCAACGAUGCGUAGCCGACCUGAGAGGGUGAUCAGCCACACUGGAACUGAGACACGGUCCAGACUCCUACGGGAGGCAGCAGUAGGGAAUCUUCCGCAAUGGGCGCAAGCCUGACGGAGCAACGCCGCGUGAGUGAUGAAGGUCUUCGGAUCGUAAAACUCUGUUAUUAGGGAAGAACAAAUGUGUAAGUAACUAUGCACGUCUUGACGGUACCUAAUCAGAAAGCCACGGCUAACUACGUG